UGUGCUUGACCGGCCGCCGAUUUCGUCAUUGUAACAGCAGAGGUAUUCCACCGGAGGUGGUCAGAUUUCUCUUGCCGCAGAAUGGUCUGGUGAAAACUACGAUAAGAUGUACAUUACCCGCACUCUACACUGACAUGGUUUGUGUGUAGUCGAGAGUGCUGUCGUAGUGUGAGGGCAGGGGCACCGGUUUACCCCCGGAUACCUGCGCGGUGAUACGUAUGUAGUGGUAAGAGGACGGGAUGGAGAUGCCGAAGAGGGAAAGAUGUAUAGGCAGUGGCAGGAAACGCUUUUUGGACUGCCAGUGGCGGCGUUAAGGGGAGAGGUGCUCGGGAGAACACCUGCGCGGGAUCCAGAAAAUAUGGGAUUAGCGCGGAGGUACGUUAUUAGUCACUACUUGGAUAGGGGUGGUUGGUGCCGACGACAAUUUGUAGGGUGACCGAUGUGCAGUUUACCAUGAGUUGUAAAGCGGAGUAGAGAGACAGCGACAGUCAAAGAGUAGAUGUUCUGUGUAUAGUCGCAUCGUGCUGGUUCUCAUUUAUGAACUGUGGCGGUCCUUCCCGAUACGCAGUUCGACGUACAAAGCGAACUCGAUGAGACAGCGACGUUAGGUGGGUGGCUAGGAGUUCACAGCACACUGCCACCACGCAUCUGCCUGUGGCACAUCGUAUGGCGUCGUUCCGCCGUAGAGUCUGCGUCGGCAAGUAUGGGUCAGGUUAUUGACAUUACGGGUGAAGGGUGUGCUCCGCGUCAGUCUCACAUGGGGAUGCGUCAAUUUUUGAUG
rnacentral:lncRNA from 1 species